rnacentral:rRNA from 1 species
AUUGAACGCUGGCGGAAUGCUUUACACAUGCAAGUCGAACGGCAGCACGGGGGCAACCCUGGUGGCGAGUGGCGAACGGGUGAGUAAUACAUCGGAACGUGCCCAGUCGUGGGGGAUAACGUAGCGAAAGUUACGCUAAUACCGCAUACGAUCUACGGAUGAAAGCGGGGGACCGUAAGGCCUCGCGCGAUUGGAGCGGCCGAUGUCAGAUUAGGUAGUUGGUGAGGUAAAGGCUCACCAAGACGACGAUCUGUAGCUGGUCUGAGAGGAUGACCCGCCACACUGGGACUAGGCAACGGCCCGGACUCCUACGGUAGGCAGCAGUGGGGAAUUUUGGACAAUGGGCGCUAGCCUGAUCCAGCCAUUCCGCGUGCAGGACGAAGGCCUUCGGGUUGUAAACUGCUUUUGUACGGAACGAAAAGGCUCUGGUUAAUACCUGGGGCUCAUGACGGUACCGUAAGAAUAAGCACCGGCUAACUACGUGCCAGCCGCCGCGGUAA